rnacentral:tRNA from 2 species
GUGGAUGUAGCUCAGUUGGCAGAGCACCGGGUUGUGGCCCCGGUGGCCGUGGGUUCAAAUCCCUCCAUCCACC